GCGGGUGUGGCGGAAUUGGUAGACGCAGCGGAUUCAAAACCCGCCGUCGCAAGACAUGCCGGUUCGAGUCCGGCCACCCGCACCA
rnacentral:tRNA from 1 species